rnacentral:misc_RNA from 1 species
UUUCCGUAGGUGAACCUGCGGAAGGAUCAUUCAUAAUAAAGUGUUUUAUGGCACUUUUUAAAAAUCCAUAUCCACCUUGUGUGCAAUGUUAGAUCUCGUCAAUCUUGGCGAGAUUUUUAUACAUCAACUCAUUCUUUAACUAAUUUGUCUGAAAAAUAUUAUGAAUACUUAAUUCAAAAUACAACUUUCAACAACGGAUCUCUUGGCUCUCGCAUCGAUGAAACGCAGC